AAUUCUCAACCUAACUGUCUUUUUUAAACAGUCAGGCUUGGAUUGUGGGGGUUGCAGGCUUUUUCUACAGUCAGCUCUCCUUAAAUGCAUUAGCCAAAUUGUUGCUGGAUCAUCAUUGAUAUGAUAAUUAUCUAUAUCAUUGAAGGCUGGCUUGGAUUUUGGCUUCCAACCGUCCCUUCAGGGACUUUGACAU
rnacentral:misc_RNA from 1 species